rnacentral:rRNA from 1 species
UACGUAGGGUGCAAGCGUUGUCCGGAAUUAUUGGGCGUAAAGAGCUCAUAGGCGGUUUGUCGCGUCUGCUGUGAAAAUCCAGGGCUUAACCCUGGACCUGCAGUGGGUACGGGCAGACUAGAGUGCGGUAGGGGAGAUCGGAAUUCCUGGUGUAGCGGUGAAAUGCGCAGAUAUCAGGAGGAACACCGGUGGCGAAGGCGGAUCUCUGGGCCGUAACUGACGCUGAGGAGCGAAAGCAUGGGGAGCGAACAGG